ACUCCUACGGGAGGCAGCACUGGGGAAUAUUGCACAAUGGGCGAAAGCCUGAUGCAGCGACGCCGCGUGAGUGAUGACGGCCUUCGGGUUGUAAACCUCUUUCAGUUGGGAAGAAGCGAAAGUGACGGUACCUGCAAAACAAGCGCCGGUUAACUACGUGCCCCCAGCCGCGGUAAU
rnacentral:rRNA from 1 species